rnacentral:rRNA from 1 species
UACGUAGGGUGCAAGCGUUAAUCGGAAUUACUGGGCGUAAAGCGUGCGCAGGCGGUGAUGUAAGACAGGUGUGAAAUCCCCGGGCUUAACCUGGGAACUGCAUUUGUGACUGCAUCGCUGGAGUGCGGCAGAGGGGGAUGGAAUUCCGGCGUGUAGCAGUGAAAUGCGUAGAUAUGCGGAGGAACACCGAUGGCGAAGGCAAUCCCCUGGGCCUGCACUGACGCUCAUGCACGAAGCGUGGGAGCAACAGG